AUUGAACGCUGGCGGCAGGCCUAACACAUGCAAGUCGAACGAGUGGCGGACGGGUGAGUAAUGUGUGGGAAACUGCCUGAUGGAGGGGGAUAACUAAUGGAAACGGUAGCUAAUACCGCAUACCAUCAGAUGUGCCCAGAUGGGAUUAGCUUGUUGGAGGGGUAACGGCUCACCAAGGCGACGAUCCCUAGCUGGUCUGGGAGGAUGAACAGACACACGGGAAUUGAGACACGGUCCAGACUCCUACGGGAGGCAGCAGUGGGGAAUAUUGCACAAGGGGCGCAAGCCUUAUGCAGCCAUGCCGCGGGGUUGAAGAAGGCCUUCGGGUUGUAAAGUACUUUCAGCGGGGAGGCGUUACCCGCAGAAGAAGCACCGGCUAACUCCGUGCCAGCAGCCGCGGUAAUUC
rnacentral:rRNA from 1 species